rfam:Ophiophagus hannah scaffold1852.1, whole genome shotgun sequence.
CCAAAGGCUCUUUUAAGAGCCACCUACAAAAACGUUAAAAGAUGCU